GUCUUUUUCUCCACAUUUAGUGCCACAUCAGGGGGUAUUCUAGACAGAGCUGUUGAAGCAGAGGAUAAGAAACAUGGAGAUAUUCUAAGACUGCAAGUUUCAGAAUAAUACUUAGGGGGGAAGUUGUGGAACAUCAAAAUAUCGCUAAUGAUCUCAAAUUUCAACAAUUUAUUGUGUAUAAACCUCAGAAUGCAGGAGCUGUUGAGGGUCAAAUUAUAAAAACUAUUGGGUUUCUUAACAACUUCUUUCUGUUGGAUGUAGUGUAUGUUGGGCAAUUUUUUUUUUACCCUUGUGGUUUUUCUGCUAUUCUUUUCUUUUUUAUUUCCUUCUUUCUUGCUUUACUUAUUUGUUAAAUCAGAGAUGCUAGGCAUAAUUGUAACUUUAUUUUUCUGAUAUGAGAAAGAAAAACAAAAUAAAAAUCAAUUCCAUAGUUUGCUAACUAAAUAAACAGAGUCAUUUGACUCUGUUUCUUUGCUGUUGGGAGCUGUUCUUUUAGUUUUGUUCAAGUUUCUAUUGUAAGUUUAUUAGGUAUAGAGUUUCUU